GCUGUGGCUACAAAUUCACUAUCAGCCAACCAAAGCAAAUGUUGCACAAAGAAGCAAUUUUUUGCAUAGCUCCUGAUCUCCAAACUCUUGAAGAUUAAAUAAAAUAGAGAUUAAAUUAAAAAGGAAAUCAGUAAACCUGUGACAUCUCCAGCACUUGCCCCAAAUAGCAACUAACUAAAGUGUCUGAAUGAACAAUAGUGAGGAAAUUAGGAGGUUCUUCCAAGGGCAGCAAUAAUUGUAACCUGACUGGUGAAUGAAUUUGGAAGCAAUCGAAACAAAACAAAGCAUUUAAUGUACUGAAAAGUUGAAAAGACACCAAUCUCAUUAGGCUGUAUUCCUCUUUAAGAGAACACCCAAAUGACAUCCUGAAGUUUGCCUAUGUCUGGCUUUCCUUUCAUUUACACUCCUCAUCUUUCUCUCAACAGAGCUGGGUGUGCAUGGGCAGUGGUGCAAGGGGAGCCUGCGCCAGAGCUCUGCUCCCUCUUUCUGGGAAGACCGUCUCUGGCAAGCAGAUUGGUUCUGCUUGCUCCUAUUCAUGGAGAAGACAUUCUCGCUUUGCCUUGAACUUUGCCUUUUCUGAAAGAGGUGCAAAACUACUGCUUCUUUCCAUCUUCAGUACCUAAAAGUUGUUGUGGUGGAGCUUGGAACCCUGUCACAUUGGUGUGUGUACAAACAUGCGGUCUCCCAUCCCGAGGAGGAUCAAAAUAACUCCGCAACUGCAAGAAGAGAGACAGUUCUUCCCCUUAAUUUACAUACAUGAAACCGAGA
rnacentral:lncRNA from 1 species